rnacentral:rRNA from 1 species
AGUGAACGCUGGCGGUAGGCCUAACACAUGCAAGUCGAACGGCAGCACAGUAAGAGCUUGCUCUUACGGGUGGCGAGUGGCGGACGGGUGAGGAAUACAUCGGAAUCUACUUUUUCGUGGGUGAUAACGUAGGGAAACUUACGCUAAUACCGCAUACGACGUACGGGUGAAAGCAGCGGAUCUUCGGACCUUGCGCGAUUGAAUGAGCCGAGGUCGGAUUAGCUAGUUGGCGGGGUAAAGGCCCACCAAGGCGACGAUCCGUAGCUGGUCUGAGAGGAUGAUCAGCCACACUGGAACUGAGACACGGUCCAGACUCCUACGGGAGGCAGCAGUGGGGAAUAUUGGACAAUGGGCGCAAGCCUGAUCCAGCCAUACCGCGUGGGUGAAGAAGGCCUUCGGGUUGUAAAGCCCUUUUGUUGGGAAAGAAAAGCAGUAGGUUAAUACCCCGCUGUUCUGACGGUACCAAAAGAAUAAGCACCGGCUAACUUCGUG